GUUUAAUUACGUAAAUCAUACAAGAAUAAACGUUUAUACUAUUGUCUUGAUGGAAAAAAUACCAUUACUCGUAACAUGGGUAAUAUUAUUCGAGCAUAUAUAUCAAGAGACGUAGCACUGUCGUUUGUGGCGGUAAAAGCAACUCAAAACAAAAAAAUUUUCAAAGAUACAAAUUUUUUCACUUGUAUAAAAAGGAUCUGCUGUAAGACAAAAAUCCCAAAAAAAUCAAGAUAUUAUUCCUGACACCAAAUUGCAUCAAGCAUUAUCGUCAGUGCUAAA